rnacentral:rRNA from 1 species
AACGAACGCUGGCGGCAGGCCUAACACAUGCAAGUCGAACGCUCCGCAAGGAGAGUGGCAGACGGGUGAGUAACACGUGGGAAUCUUCCUAUCGGUACGGAAUAGCUCAGGGAAACUUGAGGUAAUACCGCAUACGCCCUUCGGGGGAAAGAUUUAUCGCCGAUAGAUGAGCCCGCGUCUGAUUAGCUAGUUGGUGAGGUAAUGGCUCACCAAGGCGACGAUCAGUAGCUGGUCUGAGAGGAUGACCAGCCACACUGGGACUGAGACACGGCCCAGACUCCUAGGGGAGGCAGCAGUGGGGAAUAUUGGACAAGGGGCGCAAGCCUGAUCCAGCCAUGCCGCGUGGGUGACGAAGGUCUUCGGAUUGUAAAGCUCUUUUACCAGGGACGAUAAUGACGGUACCUGGAGAAUAAGCCCCGGCUAACUUCGUGCCAGCCGCCGCCGUAA